AUGUGGUGGAGCUGCAGGGUCAGGGCUGGUGACCGCGGAUGUCGGCGGCAUCCACGAUGGUGCGGGAAACUCACAACCGCUGCGGAUGUGGCGGGCUCCGCCUCAUCGCAGCAGAAGGUGACAGCGUCGAGCGGCGUAGUCCAUCCCGAUGCCCCCGUUGCGCCGCCUGCCAUGGAGGAGGAGGAGGAGGAUGGUGGGGGGAAGAGGAGGAAGAUAGACUAUACUUUCGACGACCCGUACGAUCUAGCGUAUGGUGACGAUGAAGAAUAUGAGUAUGUCCCUGGGGAAGAUGUGGAUGUGGACUGCGGCAACUUCGCCUCCUUCAAAGAGAAGGAAGAGAAGAAGAUCAUGAUCAAGGGCGUGGAUUACUACUACAAGAGCAAGACCAAAACUUGGCGCUGCCCCUACUUGACCACCAAGCCAAAGCCAAAGUCCGGCCGCUUCGUUCACCUUCUAGCUCAUGCAGAAGAUGUGGCCAUCCACGGCGAGGACUACAAGAUCAUGGGGCAGCAUGCUGCCCUAGCCAAAGCCGUGCGCCACCUCCUGGCCGGCGCCGAGGAGUCCGCGCUCUAUGUCCCGGUGGACGCCGAGGGCGUGCGCCUCCUCAUCGCGCUCUACGACCUCGAGGCCGCCAAGCUCCGCUCCCGCCUCGACCUCGAUGCCUUCCAUGUCGCCGCCAAGCAAGGGCACACCGGGUUUGAUGCUCCGAGGAACAGCAUGGAGUUCGCCAUGGAGGCUCCCCACAGCAACGGCGUCUUCCAAGAGGACGUCCCGCAGGGGAAGAAGGAGGAGGAGGAGUUCAGCAUGGGGCCCCUCUCCAUUCUCAUGCUCAGCGUCGGCGUCUUCCCCGAUGGUGACUAUGGCGGGACCCUCGAGAUCGUCGUCUUCCUGACCGGGACCCUUGGU
rnacentral:rRNA from 1 species